GUGCCAGCCGCCGCGGUAAUACAGAGGAGGCAAGCGUUGUUCGGAAUCACUGGGCUUAAAGCGCGUGUAGGUGGUCUAGCAAGUACUUUGUGAAAUGCCUGAGCUUAACUUGGGAAUUGCUUGGUAUACUGCUGGACUUGAGGCAGAUAGGGGUGCCUGGAACUCUAGGUGGAGCGGUGAAAUGUGUAGAGAUCGGGAGGAACACCGGUGGCGAAGGCGGCCUUCUGGACGGUGACUGACGCUGAGGCGCGAAAGCGUGGGGAGCAAACGGGAUUAGAUACCCCGGUAGUCCACGCUGUAAACGAUGCGCGCUAGAUGUCGGGGGGCUUGCCCUUCGGUGUCGCAGCCAACGCGCUAAGCGCGCCGCCUGGGGAGUACGGCCGCAAGGUUAAAACUUAAAUGAAUUGGCGG
rnacentral:rRNA from 1 species